UUGGCCCGCAGGGCGAGUCUCAGGAUGAGACGAGUUUCUCUGCAGCAGGUUCGGGUCGAACGUAGUGAGACAACGGAGCCGCUUGCGGCGAGACGGCCCGCAGGGCGAGGCGAAGCCGAGUCAUCCUGCACGACCCACCA
rnacentral:sRNA from 1 species